GUGGGGAAUAUUGCACAAUGGGCGAAAGCCUGAUGCAGCAACGCCGCGUGAGGGAUGACGGCCUUCGGGUUGUAAACCUCUUUUAGUAGGGAAGAAGCGAAAGUGACGGUACCUGCAGAAAAAGCACCGGCUAACUACGUGCCAGCAGCCGCGGUAAUACGUAGGGUGCAAGCGUUGUCCGGAAUUAUUGGGCGUAAAGAGCUCGUAGGCGGCUUGUCGCGUCUGCUGUGAAAUCCCGGAGCUCAACUCCGGGCGUGCAGUGGGUACGGGCAGGCUAGAGUGCGGUAGGGGAGAUUGGAAUUCCUGGUGUAGCGGUGGAAUGCGCAGAUAUCAGGAGGAACACCGAUGGCGAAGGCAGAUCUCUGGGCCGCUACUGACGCUGAGGAGCGAAAGCAUGGGGAGCGAACAGGAUUAGAUACCCGUGUAGUCC
rnacentral:rRNA from 1 species